rnacentral:rRNA from 1 species
GUGAGUAACGCGUGAGAAUCUACCUUCUAGAUGGGGACAACCGUUGGAAACGACGGCUAAUCCCCAAUAAGCCGAGAGGUGAAACGGGUAUCCGCUAGAAGAGGAGCUCGCGUCCGAUUAGUUAGUUGGUGGGGUAAGAGCCUACCAAGGCAGCGAUCGGUAGCUGGUCUGAGAGGAUGAGCAGCCACACUGGGACUGAGACACGGCCCAGACUCCUACGGGAGGCAGCAGUGGGGAAUUUUCCGCAAUGGGCGAAAGCCUGACGGAGCAACGCCGCGUGUGGGAAGAAGGCUCUUGGGCUGUCAACCACUUUUCUCAGGGAAGAAGUCCUGACGGUACCUGAGGAAUCAGCCUCGGCUAACUCCGUGCCAGCAGCCGCGGUAAUACGGAGGAGGCAAGCGUUAUCCGGAAUUAUUGGGCGUAAAGCGUCCGCAGGGGGCGCAUCAAGUCUGCUGUUAAAGGUCGGAGCUAAACUCCGGUAGAGCAGUGGAAACUGGUGCGCUAGAGGGCGACAGGGGUAGAGGGAAUUCCCAGUGUAGCGGUGAAAUGCGUAGAGAUUGGGAAGAACACCGGUGGCGAAAGCGCUCUACUGGGUCGCACCUGACCCUCAGGGACGAAAGCUAAGGUAGCGAAAGGGAUUAGAUACCCCUGUAGUCUUAGCCGUAAACGAUGGAUACUAGGCGUGGUUUGUAUCGACCCAAGCCGUGCCGAAGCUAACGCGUUAAGUAUCCCGCCUGGGGAGUACGCAUGCAAGUGUGAAACUCAAAGGAAUUGACGGGGGCCCGCACUAGCGGUGGAGGAUGUGGUUUAAUUCGAUGCAACGCGAAGAACCUUACCAGGGCUUGACAUCCCGAGAAUCUCUCGGAAAGGAGAGAGUGCUUACGGGAACGCGGAGACAGGUGGUGCAUGGCUGUCGUCAGCUCGUGUCGUGAGAUGUUGGGUUAAGUCCCGCAACGAGCGCAACCCUCGUCCUUAGUUGCCAGCAUUAAGUUGGGCACUCUAGGGAGACUGCCGGUGACAAACCGGAGGAAGGUGAGGAUGACGUCAAGUCAGCAUGCCCCUUAUGCUCUGGGCAACACACGUCCUACAAUGGUCGGGACAAAGGGGAGCAAGCUCGCGAGAGUAAGCGAAUCCCAGCAAACUCGGCCUCAGUUCAGAUAGC